CCUACGGGAGGCAGCAGUAGGGAAUCUUCCACAAUGGGCGCAAGCCUGAUGGAGCAACACCGCGUGAGUGAAGAAGGGUUUCGGCUCGUAAAACUCUGUUGUUGAAGAAGAACGUUCGUCAGAGUAACUGUUCUCGCCGUGACGGUAUCCAACCAGAAAGUCACGGCUAACUACGUGCCAGCAGCCGCGGUAAUACGUGCCAGCAGCCGCGGUAAU
rnacentral:rRNA from 1 species